CCUUGCAUCUCUGAGUUAGUCUACCCGUUGCUGAUGUUGCUGCCGCUGCAAUCCCAAAUUGUACAUAUUUCUGUUUCAAGCCUUUCAGUUUACUGAUUUACUGAUGGCAAUAAAAUCUACUUUACAUUGGAACAUUGACAACCGUUGGUUUUUUGCAGGCAAAUCCUGGAUCUACAUAUCUAUACAGUUCUUUGGUAAUUCCUGAUCUAUAAAAGACCUCAACAACAUCUGCUGGUAAGAUUGGAAUCCAACAUUUAACUGAUGACUUGGGAGCAUGAGCAGAGGUUAUCAACUCAGGUUGAACUUGGUCCUUAUAAAAUAUGAUAUAACAAAGCCAAUAUCCAGAUAUAAGUUUGUGCAUUUGCAGGUGCCCUGAUCCUAUCAUUGUCCAUUGUCCAUGCUGCUAAUAUCCCUCCAAAGUUGCUAUUGCUGCUGACUGGAGAUGUUUGAGAUAGGGAGUAAGAUUAAGCCAUUUGUAUUGUGUGGCAGUGUUUCAUCGUCUCUAGCAUGACCGGAGGCAAACAAACAAUUUACAUAAUUUGAGUUGCAAGCUUUGCUAUGGCUGCCUGUUGUUCGACGGUCUCCAUCAUGAUGUGCUUCUCUUGUUGGAUGCCCGCCCACGCGCAGUUCACAUGGGCAUCGGGGCCUCGCUCUCGCCUCUGCCGCAUCUUCCAAUCAUUACUGCAAACAAUUUGCAGCCUCGACAAGGACUAUCUUGGUUCUUGCUAUUCAUUACUGUUCUUUUCCCUGCCUUCUCUGAAUGAACUAUGUAAUAACUAGAAACUACAAGGUUUUAGAUUAUUGGUCUCUGAUACACUAGGUUUUUUUGGAGUUAUGGAUUUUAAACUAAUUUGGAUUAAACUACCGAAGGUUAUAUAUAUAUUUGUUUAUAAUAAAGAUUGGAGUUGGAUUA